AACACGAAAAAAAGAUUUUAUUCAUGAACUGUUUGCACAAGCAGUCCAAGACGCAACUUCCUACCAUUCUUGGAAACCAAAAGAACAAGUUAAUUGAAAUAAAAUUAAUUUAAUUGUUGAAUAAUAUCACUUAUAUUUCAGCAUCUUCAUAACCUGAAUGGCAAUAACCUAAAGCCAGUAGUACUUGUGUUUAUAACAUUGAAAAAGGGUUUUGUUGGGUGUAAACCGGAGGAUCUACCACCAUAGUCUCCACACACUCCACAAUAAAUAUGAAAGAGUCCGGUAUUUGAACAAAAAUAUUCAUCUGUUACUCCAGGUACAAUAUCUUAGUCUUUAUGUGCAAGGUUUGAGCUGAACUCAUAACAACAAACAUAAACUCACAUCAAAACCCCUGACGUCCUCGCAACAAUUUCAGUUUUCUACGUAAUUUUUUAAAUAAACCUAGAGAAAUUUUUCAUUUCAUAUUAUACACAUAUAUUUAUAUAUACCUUUCAUUUUUCCUAUAUGCCACACCCUUUAAAUGGUCUUGUGUUGAGCCGGUAUCAGGGCAGAUUUGUGUUCAAACACAAGAAUUAAGUAGUUCACAGAGCAAACAUACAAUAGUAAGCACACAUUUGCUCACACAUACAUACAGAGAGGUGAACUGGGGUGAAAGUUUCAUGGCAACUUGGCAGAGGCCCGACUGAUGCACACUGCUGCAUUCAGUCCUGGAAAAACACAAUUGGUCACAGUUUUGCACCCCUGCUUCUGACUUACUCUGAACCAAAGUUCAACUGUACUGCUGACUCAACAGGUCCACAGAACCCACAGAGAGGGGUCAAAGGUCCUGAAGGACGACUUCCCAUUGGUUCCCAUCAAGCUUCCAAGUUAUUUGGCACAUUAAACAACUAAUAAGUAACACAGUGGGCUAAAAGGUGCAACAAGAGUAAAACAACAAAACCAUUUUGGUUUAUAAAAUUAAAAAGACACCUUGAAGGGUGUCACAUUUUUCUAGACAAAAAAACUCUCCCCUGAAUGAUAAGGCUAAAAAUAAUCAAAAAUGCACCCAAAUAAACCUUUUUCUACAAAGUCGAACAUUAACUCUAGAAAUGCAUGGACAUCACAAUGACAGUACUGCAUCAACACAAACUUAAUAGAGUAGAUUUUCCCAACAUACUUCACUCUUCUCUCAAACUAAGACCAUCUGUCAAUGAUGACUCAAAUACAUACAACUCCAGUCCAGGUAUAAUUGUCAUUUGUGGGUCUGGUGGGAGUACUUUCAUUAAAAAGUAGAAAUGAAAAAAGUUUAUAGCUAAGAUUGUUCAUUUUUGCUGAGAUUAAGGAAAUAAAUUGUAGAGAAAAUAUUUGAUUGACAUAAGUGGGCAAUAUAAAAUGUUAAGAUGACACAGGCUAUUAUUGGCUAAUAUGAACCAUUACUCAUCUAUACAAGCACUUAUUCCCCAAGUAUAAACUCAACAGUCUCAUACUAAUAAAGUUGUGACAACCUACAGAUUAUUUACAUUAAGAGCCUCAAAAACAUUUGUGAAAAUUGAGAGGGAACGUGUGAUAUGGAACAAGAGGCCUGUAACAGGACAUCUUAAACUGAUAAUCUAAUAUUAAGUGAUAGAGUUUGACUGUUAGUCUAAUAUUUUAAAAGUAAAAUAAACAUACACCCUGGACCCAUUUACAGAGUAGUGAGAUUUAAUAAACAUUACUCUGUAGCUAGCUCUAUAUCAGUAUUAGAAACUUGUUUUAGGUGAUUUUGAAUGACAUGGAAAUGAAUGAACAAACUCAAGUCAAGGCAGGUUGGAUAAAGAGUGCAAAAAGUAGAACAUUUCAAACCUUCAUAUAAAAGAAACCAGAAAUGCCCCUAAAAUGUAGAGAGUGGAAAAUCUUUAAAUUAGCAUCAGGUGGUCAUCUUCAUAUUCACACUAA
ensembl:lncRNA